UUCCUCAAAGAAAAAUGCUUGGGGAACGGGUAAUUGGAAUGAACUACAAGCAUUUUCACUGAGCUCAAAGAAACUGCAAGAAAAAAGAUCUUCGAUCUGCAUCCAAGUAUUUUUUUUGUCUGAAAGAACACUGUGUGAGGAAUUUUGACAUUCUCUGCAUUCUAAUGAAAAUGACUUGGAAAGUAGAGGCUUCUCUAUACAUUUGCCUCAUUGCCGCCACGAUGGGCACCGUUUAUCAGGAAUAAAGAGAGAAGAUCAAGAAAGUAGUUCUUUUCUGGAGAAUUUUGUGCUCUGGCUCUUAAGUACUUUUGCUUUGCCAUGAAUGUGAAUAUUUUAAAGGCCAAAAAAGCCCCCUCCAUUUGAGUUGCAGAUGGCCACAGGAACCCAACAAGAAUGCUAACAACUCAUUUUAAAAAGGGAAAAAGAAAGGAAGUGCCAAGUUCCACACUGCAUAUCCAUACUGAUGUUGAGCCCAUCUUGGCCUAGCUGGUAGAACUGAAAAUUGAGAAUAAUAUUAAGGGGCUGCAAUGAUCCCUAAGGGUAAAAAUAAAUGUGUUUCUGAAAACAACAGCCACAUCCACAAUGAAAUAGACAUGAAACAAGAUAACCCAAGAACACAUUUGUUUUCCUUGUAACAGGGAUGCGUUAAGUUCAUUAUUCAGAGGACUUUGAUUACCCUUUUCAAAGAUUUUUGUGUUGGAAGCAAUCAGAAGACUGGAAGCAAUUUACUAAUAAGAGAACAUGCCCUACAGCUCUGGCCUGUGAAAAGAGUUUCAGAAUCACGAUGUAGCCACAAGUCAAAUUCUAGAAAGAAUUAAUGGCACAUCUCAUAGUUCUUUCAUUUGCUGGCUGAUUCAUUCCAGAGUGGUUUUGAGGACAGAAUGAAGCAAGAUGAAAAACAGCACUUUGAAAAUGGAGUGUGUGGUAUUCAUCUUAGAUACACUUUUAGAGAAGAAGAAAUGUGUCUCAGAAAAAGGACCUCUUCUGACUCAAAUUUAGCUUACAUCCCCUUCUCAACCAUAUCCCAGGUGAUAAAAUAUGACACCCAGGUAAGCAGUGGCCUUGUGGACUCUGAAGAAGUUCUUAACGUGUCCACGGCACAUUCUCAUUUUGUCUGGCUCUAAACUACUGUCUCAAGAAAGCUGCAAAUAUUUGAAAGUAACAAUAAAGUGUUAACAGUAA
rnacentral:lncRNA from 1 species